rnacentral:piRNA from 1 species
UACUUGAAUAGUGUUUAUAAA